rnacentral:rRNA from 1 species
UACGUAGGGUGCGAGCGUUGUCCGGAAUUACUGGGCGUAAAGAGCUCGUAGGUGGUUUGUCGCGUUGUCCGUGAAAACUCACAGCUUAACUGUGAGCGUGCGGGCGAUACGGGCAGACUGGAGUACUGCAGGGGAGACUGGAAUUCCUGGUGUAGCGGUGGAAUGCGCAGAUAUCAGGAGGAACACCGGUGGCGAAGGCGGGUCUCUGGGCAGUAACUGACGCUGAGGAGCGAAAGCGUGGGGAGCGAACAGG